rnacentral:rRNA from 1 species
UCUCCUGGAAACGGGUGGUAAUGCCGGAUGUUCCACAUGAGCGCAUGCGAGUGUGGGAAAGGCUUUUUGCGGCAUGGGAUGGGGUCGCGUCCCAUCAGCUUGUUGGUGGGGUAACGGCCUACCAAGGCGUUGACGGGUAGCCGGCCUGAGAGGGCGACCGGCCACAUUGGGACUGAGAUACGGCCCAGACUCCUACGGGAGGCAGCAGUGGGGAAUAUUGCACAAUGGGCGCAAGCCUGAUGCAGCGACGCCGCGUGCGGGAUGGAGGCCUUCGGGUUGUAAACCGCUUUUGUUCAAGGGCAAGGCACGGUUUCGGCCGUGUUGAGUGGAUUGUUCGAAUAAGCACCGGCUAACUACGUGCCAGCAGCCGCGGUAAUACGUAGGGUGCAAGCGUUAUCCGGAUUUAUUGGGCGUAAAGGGCUCGUAGGCGGUUCGUCGCGUCCGGUGUGAAAGUCCAUCGCUUAACGGUGGAUCCGCGCCGGGUACGGGCGGGCUUGAGUGCGGUAGGGGAGACUGGAAUUCCCGGUGUAACGGUGGAAUGUGUAGAUAUCGGGAAGAACACC